rnacentral:rRNA from 1 species
GACGAACGCUGGAGGCGUGCUUAACACAUGCAAGUCGAACGGAAAGGCCCUGCUUUUGUGGGGUGCUCGAGUGGCGAACGGGUGAGUAACACGUGAGUAACCUGCCCUUGACUUUGGGAUAACUUCAGGAAACUGGGGCUAAUACCGGAUAGGAGCUCCUGCUGCAUGGUGGGGGUUGGAAAGUUUCGGCGGUUGGGGAUGGACUCGCGGCUUAUCAGCUUGUUGGUGGGGUAGUGGCUUACCAAGGCUUUGACGGGUAGCCGGCCUGAGAGGGUGACCGGCCACAUUGGGACUGAGGUACGGCCCAGACUCCUACGGGAGGCAGCAGUGGGGAAUAUUGCACAAUGGGCGGAAGCCUGAUGCAGCAACGCCGCGUGCGGGAUGACGGCCUUCGGGUUGUAAACCGCUUUCGCCUGUGACGAAGCGUGAGUGACGGUAAUGGGUAAAGAAGCACCGGCUAACUACGUG